CACAGUUACAUAAAAAUUUAUUUUCUUUUUUGGACAUAAUAUUUGCAUAAAAUUCUAAUUGUAACGUAUAAAUGAGGUUAAAAAAACUCAUUAAUAAUGGACAACUUGCAUGUUAGACUAAAUUUUAAUCUAAGUAAAGAGAAGGGAAUAAAACACAACAGUUAAAAAGAAAAUAAUGAAAUUAGUAAAAUUGCAAAAUUUGGUUGCGAAAUGUUGUAAAAUGAAGAAAAUAUAGCCUUGCGAAGUUUGCAAUUUUCAGUAUAUUUGUAUUACGUGCGGAAAUUGUUACCAUUUUCGGCUCGAAAAUGGUAACAAUUUUCGCA